CGUAAGACAGUUCGGUCCCUAUCUGAUGCAGGCGCAGGAUAUUUGAAGGGAGCUGUCUCUAGUACGAGAGGACCGAGACAGACGAACCGACGGUGUUCCAGUUAUCACGCCAGUGGUAAUGGCUGGGUAGCCGCGUUCGGAAAGGAUAAGUGCUGAAGGCAUCUAAGCACGAAGCCCACCCUAAGAAUAGAUAUCCCUGAAGACGCCUUGGAGACUACAAGGUUGAUAGGCACCAAGUGUAAGGGCCGUGAGGCCUUCAGCUUAGGUGUACUAAUCCGUCGUUUGGCUUGACCUU
rnacentral:rRNA from 1 species